UCUCAGUUUUUAAGAGUCUCUUGUGUUUUGGCUCCCUCCCUCUCUAACCUUUUUUUUUUCUUCCCCUCCCCCAUGGUCUUCUGUUAAGUUUCUCAGGAUCCACAUAAGAGUGAAAACAUAUGGUAUCUGUCUUUCUCUGUAUUACUUAUUUCACUUAGCAUAACACUCUCCAGUUCCAUCCACGUUGCUACAAAAGGCCAGAUUUCAUUCUUUCUCAAAAAGGCGCAGCUUUAAAAAUAAGGAAACUGUACUUCACACUUCAAAAGCCUAAGAAUGAUUCCUAUACCCUUUCCAAUCCCACUUUCAGAAAGACUCGAUGCUGUUUCGGUCAAGAGGCCAAAUUUGAAGACAUGAUGCAAUUCUCAAUUUGUUACUGACUCACCUUGCAGCCUAAGACAAGUCACUUAUCUCUGUGCCUUGGGAAGGACUCUGGUGAGUAAUAAACAAAUAAAAACGGAAAGUCCUCUAUGAACUAAGAGGCACCUCCUAUCUACAGAAGUCCCAGGAAAAAUUCGGGAAGAUUUGGGAUUCCCCACCCCUCAGCCCUGAAAGUCUAGAACUUCCCUGUGCUAGACAGUCCCCAGUCAUGAAGACUCAGUCUAGCAUGUUUCCAGAGGACUCCCACAACC